UUUCUCCCCAAAGAGAUGAUGUUUCCCAAUAGCGCAUGCAGGUGGACCCUAACCUGGCACACACAGGCCCUCUUGGCCCUCCAGCACUGGUGCCUGGGCUCUACCAUUUGAUUGCACCCGUGUCUGUCUGUGCUAGGGCUCUGUCCUGGUCCUGUCACCCCUGAGGUAUCCUUGGAGCAUAGGGAUGCCAAAGAGCCCCAUGUGAUCUUGUCAACUCUGGGUAAACUCAAGAGGCUCCUUGGGUUUCUGAGCUGAGGGCCAAGGCAGCCCAUGUCUGGGCUUCAUUACAAAGAAAAGUGGCAAUCAAUGGGCAAUGUCCAUUAGGAGUUUUUGGAAAGGGGAUCUGGGGCGACAAACCUAGAAAGGGAUGAGGCAAAUAGUACAUCGCUGCCUUAGAUGGCUGCUUUGCUAUCGGGCUGCACUGUCUCACCCGCCAGGUGGCCGAGGAGGCCGUCGGAGGACCACAAAGCUGCAAGUGGCUUUCCUGCGGCCUGCAGGGAACAGGUGGAGGACACUUGGAAGGGCACCCACCCCGGGUCUCACAGGAGUCUGCACCCGCAGGUCACACUGGCAUUAGCCCCUCAUCCUCUGGAGUUCAUCUCAUCCAGGCGAAGACAGCUGGCUGGCCUCAGAGGGUGAGACGCAACUCGAGGGUAAAAACAUUUUUACAGGGCAUGGACACAAAAGUGGCCUUUACCUCUGGAUAAGCUUUUAAAACUUCCCAUUUACAUGUAAAGGUGUACUUUCUAUGUGCCACCAAGAAACCUAAAGUGAGUAAAAGGUGUUUCACUUUAAUCAAGUUCCCCAAUGAGGGGGCACAGCUCUGAAAAGCACUGUCACAACAGGAGAUUCGAGGGUGCAUGCAAAGCAAUGUUUCUAGAAAAUGCCAAAGGAAACAGACACAACUCCAGUGUGGACUCCCGCUUCCCUGCACUGCUGCUCCAUCCUCAGGGCGGAGGCCACAUCGUCCAGCUAGCUGUGAGAACCUCAUCAUGCUCCUUGAUUGUGUGCAGCAGGUGUCUGCUGAAGUCCUCCACACUCUGCCUGUGAGAAAACUGUACUACAGAAAGGUGAGCACCUUGCCCAAAGUUACGCAGAAAGUGAAAAAACAAGAAUUCUAACCCAGACAAGUAAGUUGUAUAAGCAAAUGAGGCUAAUAGAGAUGCCAACCAGGUGUUCAAAGGGUUAUAGUUACUUCUGGAAGUGAGGUGAGGCUCUGUAAUAGCUAAGACGUGAACCUGGUUCUCCAGGGUAGAGACAAGAGGCAACAAGAGAAGGGACUCUGCAAAGAAACCAGCAAUAGGUUGGGAACACAGGGAUGGAGAGCAGCCACGAGUUUACCUAGGUUGAAUUUGGAAAGUCUGUGCAGAGAAAGAUGCAGGUCCCACUGGGCAUGGUGGCUCACACCUGUAAUCCCAGCACUUUGGGAGGCCGAGGCAGGCGGAUCACUUGAGCCCAGGAAUUUGAGACCAGCCUGGGCAACAUGGUGAGACCCCAUAUCUACAAAAACUACAAAAAUUAGCUGGGCAAGGUGGCAUGCACCUGUGGUCCCAGCUACUUGGGAGGGUGAGGUGGAAGAAUUGCUUGAGCCCAGGAGGUGGAGGUUGCAGUGAGCCAUGAUCAUGCCACUGUACUCUAGCCUGAGCAACAGAGUGAGACCCAGUCUCGGGAGAAAGAGGGAAAGAAAGAAGGGAGAGAGGGAGGGAGGUAGGGAAGGAAAGAAGGAAGGAAGGAAGGAAAAAGAAAGAAGAAAGAAGGAAGGAAGAAAGGAAGGAAGGAAGGAAGAAAGAAAGAGAAAGAAAGAAAGAAAGAAAGAAAGAAGAAAGAAAGAAAGAAAGAAAGAAAGAAAGAAAGAAAGAAAGAAAGAAAGAAAGAAAGAAAGAGAAAGAAAGAAUCAUGCAGCUCCCUUAUUCCCCAGGCAUUCACUGAGCACUUAGUGUGUCAUAUGCAGGCUUUUAGGUUUAGGGUCCUGGGCAAUGAUACAGACAAGACAAACAGAGUCUCCUCCUUCAUGGAACUUACAUGAGUGGGACGGACAACAAACAAAUGGUCCAGACGAUUUCAGAUAGUGAUGAGUGUUCGGAGAACACUAAGCAGAAUGAUCUGAGUUUGCAACGGGCAUUGCAAUGCCUGCUGGGCUCCUUACCCCUCAGGACCUUUCCACUGGCUGCUCUCAAAGGCUGAAUAACCUUUGCCCUGUUGCUGCAGGGCCAGAUUCUCUUCUUGCAGGAUUCCUUUGACUAAACUGUCACCUUGUCAAAGAGGUCUGAUGCCGACUAAAAGUUCUCUGUUACUGGGCGUGCAGAGAGAAGCCUAUUGUGGCUGUAAGGAUGGGUGAAGGAGAAGGGCACAAAGUGGACAGCAGAAGCAGGAGCUGUCACACAGGCCUGGCCCAUCAUGGUGGAGAGUUUGGAUUUCAUUCUAAGCCAAAUGGGAAGUCAUUUUUCUUCUAAGCACAAGAACAACAUGACUGAAUUUAUGCUUUAAAUGAGCCACUUUGACUGCCCAGUUUCUCAACCACAUAGUCGAUAGAUAUAUAGAUGUAUAGAUGGGUAGGUUGGUAGACAGACAGACAGACAGACAGACAGACAGACAGGCAGACAGAUAGAUGUAUAUGUAGGUAGAUAGGUAGAUAGAGAGAUGAAUAGGUAGGAAGGUAGAUAGAUAGAUACAUAGAUACAUAGAGAGGUGUAUAGGUAUAGGUAGGGAGGUAGAAAGAGAGAGAGAUGUAUAGGUAGGUAAGUAGAUAGAUGUAUAGACAGAUAGAUAUAUAGAUAGAUAUAGAGAUAGAUAGAUGAUAGAUAGAUAGAUAGAUAGAUAGAUGUCUAUAGGUAGGCAGUUAGGUAGAUGGAUGCACAGAAGGAUGGACAGAUGGAUGGAGGGAUGGAGGGAUAGAUAUAGAUAGAUUUGUGAAUAUAGAUACCUAUCUGUCUCUCUCUAGCUAGAGAUAAAAUAGACAAGUGGCUUCAUGCAUCAGUAGCAUUGAAAGACACCUCGAAUGUGGCCUUACUUCAAGGUGAUGGAAUUUCUUUUUAAGCUCAGCUUCUACUUCCCUUCUGAGGAAGUUCAUGACAGGGAGCUGCUGCAACUGAUGUGACUUUCAACUCUAAUAUCCCGAUGAUGUAAAUGCACUGAUCAGCUCAGCAGGAUUUAAGCUGGUUGAGGCUUUAUUCAAUUCAAAUUCAAGCUGUUAAAUCGAGGCUCUCAGACUCCUGCUGCCUGGCCAGUGGAGAAAUUAACUUUCACAUAUGGCUUUGGGAUUUCUCUCUGUCAUCCUGGUCGACGUGUUCUCUCAUUUUUCUGAAGUCUGGGACCUCAACACAGACAUCUGGGUGAAGGCCUUGACAGCAGCGCUGGUGCAAAAUGAAUUGUCACAUCACACCCAACGUUCUCAACCUUUAGAAUCUGAAAGUAAGAAAAACACCUCAAACAAAACAUUAAAGAUUGAAUAAUUGAAGGCACUAUGCUUGGUGCUGAAGAAGGUCUAAGGAGGUCUACACCACAGAGGCUGCACCCACUCCUCAGCCUUGCUGAGCCACACCAUUCUCAUCUCUACAGCAUCCACCUCUCUUGGCUCUUGUAAGGAUUGAGACAUGCCACCAGGCUUACUGUAAGCACUGAACAGCUGGGAGGAUUUGAUGCUGUCCCACUGCCAUACCAAGGGGCAAGUUUUCUGGACUUGCCUAGACCUUAUAGCAGAUUAAGUACUUUUAUUUCACUGAACAAAGUUUAGAGAUCAUUUUACAUCACUGAACAAAGUUUAGAGAUUUGGAGAGUAUUUGUUUUUAAUUUCUAUGGAUCUGCUUAUACUUCUCUUUUGCAAAUUGAAACACCGUGGAAGAUUUUUUGGAACUUAGGUUGAGAGUUGUACAUGGCUUCAGAGUUGCUGUGGAUUUCUAUCUCCAUGGGGCCAUCUGUCUCAUCUGUCUAUAUAAUGGUCAUGCACUUUGCAGAGCCUGCUUCAAUGUCUGCUAUACUAUGGCCACUCUGCCAGUGUUGUUGACAAACAGAUGGGUUUUGAUGGCAGAGAAACUUAUAUUUAGCAAGUCUUCCUUUUGCCCUUGAACUUUUCCACCUGUUGUUUGCACCAGCAACUCCCAUGGCAAAUGUGAAAAAGCAAAAAAUAAGGAAUAUUACAAGAUGGGACUAACAUUAAAAUGUAUGUUUUCAUCAAACAUGAUCAAGAACCUACCGAUGAUUGAAGAUUGAUUCUGAGUAAUCAGCACAGAUUUCUAAAAGAAACUUUAUGGGAUGCUGAGACAUGAAUAAAAACAACUUUAUUCCUUUGGAAAGGACAACCCACAUGCUAAGAAGAUGACACUACACGUUGUUAUAGCCCGAAAGGCCCUCUUUCCACAGGGGAGCAGUGAAAAGUAGAGGUUGCCCAUGUGGAUUCCCAAGUCAGAUAGAUGUGGAUUCAGAUCCCAGCUCUGCUGCUUGCUACCCAAGAGACCAUGGACUGUGGACUCUUUAGGUCUCAGGGUUUUUGUUUGUUGUCUGUUUUUCACUUCCAAAACCAGAAAAUGAGAAGAUAUUUUCCAUAAGAUGGCGGUGGUGAGUAAAUGUAAUUAUAUGUCUAAAGCUAUGGGCAUGAAAGCUUGGCACACAUUUAAGUAAGUGCUUGAUAAAUGUUAAUUCUUACAACUAUUGGUAUCAUUUAGAUUUAGGUUGCUGAGUUAGUGGGAAAUAAUGUCCUUAUCAUGUGAGGAAUCCCUAUUCUCAAAAGGGGUUAUUAUCAUUAGAAUGCUAACUGUUUUCAAAACAGCUAAUUGACCAUUUUAUUCAGAAGCACCAUCUGCUACUCAUUAGGGUCUAGGUUUCUGUCAGCUCACGGGUGCCCAUAUGUGAGUUGAUAACCCUAUUUCAGUCUUGGUUGUUGAAUCCUCAGUGUCUGCGGUUGACUGACUAUCAGGUAUUUGCAUCUCUGAAAGUAAUUUUCAGCAGUGAGUUUUUAGUUAGGUUCUUUGGUUACAGUUCUGGAUAAUUAACACUAAAAUGAGACAUCUUAGAAGGCUUUGGCUCAGAUAAUUGAGAGAAGUGAAUGUUGAACAAGAUUCAGGAAGGGAAGAGCUGGGAUACCCCAAUGUCUGGAUUUCAUGCUCUUUUUCUCCAAGCACAUCCACUGUGGGGCUUGGCCUCAAUCCCCUAGAUGUCUUCAAUAUAAUCUUCAAUUGUCAGGAGAAGAGAACUUGAUGGACCUUGCUUGGACAAAAUGCCUUCACCGCUAACUCAGUCAGCUAUGGCGAUGGGUCAAGGACCUGGUGGUUUUACAGAGAAGACCCUUGGUCAAAUCUUUGUGAAUGAAGCAACCAUUCUGAUGUUCAAUAACAGGGUAAGUGCUGGCCAAUGAUGUCAUUAUCGUCCAUCCUGUGGCUUCCACACAUCAGUGAUCUUAUUAGAUACCUGCAAUUUCAACCCACUAUAUCAGAAUUCCAUAGGAAUGAGUUGUUUUUAAAGUUCUUCAGAGUGAAUUUGGAUGCUCAGUCAUUAUAAAGAACUAUCUUCAUCCUACAAAGACUGGUGUUUUUUCUUUCCUUGUUUAUCUUGGAAUUUUUUUCCAAUUGCAGCCUUGAAAACCAUUUCCAAUAAUGUCAGAAUUUGCUUAAAAGAUUGUGAAAGACGGUAAUCUGGAUUGUAAUACUGGGUCAAAGAGACCAUACCAGGAGCCAACCAUGCUAAAUCUAACUUUAAAAUACAGAAUUACAAUGUUAAGACAAGUUCCAUAGAGUGAUAAGGUCUAUGUGGUACUUACUAUUUUACACACAUUUUCCUACACUUAGUGUAACUGUCUCCUAAUUAAAUGCAAUUGUUUUAAAUUAGCUGAUGUGUGUUUUAUGUGAUAUAGCUUUAUAUCCUAAGCCAGAAUAAAAAUAUUCUGAGAGUG
rnacentral:lncRNA from 10 species